GGCUCUGUAGUGCAAUUGAACUUCUAGGCUGUGAGCUGAUUCAUUCAAAGGUUGUGGGUUCAAGUCCCACCAGAGUCG
rnacentral:tRNA from 1 species